AAGUCGUAACAAGGUUUCCGUAGGUGAACCUGCGGAAGGAUCAUUAAUGAUUUUUUAAGCAAACCAAGCGAAAGCGAGGUUUUGCGAAUAUAUUUAAAACCCCCCCACUCUUUACAAAGAAAAAAAUUUUCAUAUUCAUAAAUGAAUAAAAAAAGAUCACUUUCAACAACGGAUCUCUUGGCUCUC
rnacentral:misc_RNA from 1 species